ensembl:processed_transcript 4931403E22Rik RIKEN cDNA 4931403E22 gene
AUAGCAACAAGAGCUUUCUUGGCGUGAUCAUUUGAGAUGAAACAGUGCUAAUACUUUGAGAUUUCGCUAGAGCAGUCACAAGAGAGACCCCAGUGAGGACUCAAUCAGUCAAAUUAUUAUUAUCCCAUCUGUGGAUAGCAAGUCCGACUUCCCCCAGUGCUGGAGAGCUUCAGUGGCAUGCCAUUUCACCCUGCUUGUCUAGAUAGCAUGCGCCCACCUCUUCUACAUGCAAGCUGGUCCCUGUUUGAAAGACUGCAGCCAUUUCUGCUCCUGCUCAGAAGAGUGUGACGUGCUAUGCCACCUCAGGAACUUCUGGAAUAGGCAGCCCACGGCUAUGACUCCACAUACUUGAGGAUAAGUCACGAAAAGAUUACAAGCACAUCUUGGCUGCGCACACCUGUGAUGGACGGACUCUCAAUUUCACCUGUGCUCAGGGUGAAGUAGGAAUUAAACGCUAUGGACUAGACCCAAGGAUUCACUAGAACUUCAACUGAAUGCAAAGCCACAAAGGUCACCCGUGCCUGCCUGCCUCCUCUCUCCAGGCAAACCUGCAGGCCCUAGGUCCACUGAAGGAACAAGUCCAGAGACACCCAGGCUCAGAAGAGAAGAGCUGAGCGAUCUCAGACUGGGUGGUGGUGCUAUAAAAUAAGAACAAAUUAAAAAUAAAUAAAUAAAUAAAUAAAUAAAU